CUUGAUGGACCCGAGCCACAGCGGCUCGUCCUCCGGCCGCCUCUGGCCGUAGGUGGCCAUCAGCGCCUGCGCCUC
rfam:Streptomyces violaceusniger Tu 4113, complete genome.